rnacentral:rRNA from 1 species
AUUGAACGCUGGCGGCAUGCUUUACACAUGCAAGUCGAACGGCAGCGAGGAGAAGCUUGCUUCUCUGUCGGCGAGUGGCGAACGGGUGAGUAUAGCAUCGGAACGUGCCAAGUAGUGGGGGAUAACCAAACGAAAGUUUGGCUAAUACCGCGUAAGCUCUAAGGAGGAAAGUAGGGGACCUAAAUAAGGCCUUACGCUAUUUGAUCGGCCGAUGUCGGAUUAGCUAGUUGGUGGGGUAAUGGCUCACCAAGGCAAUGAUCCGUAGCGGGUCUGAGAGGACGAUACGCCACACUGGGACUGAGACACGGCCCAGACUCCUACGGGAGGCAGCAGUGGGGAAUUUUGGACAAUGGGGGAAACCCUGAUCCAGCCAUGCCGCGUGUAUGAAGAAGGCCUUAGGGUUGUAAAGUACUUUUGUUAGGGAAGAAAAGCAAGUUUUUAAUAAAAAUUAGUGAUGACGGUACCUAAAGAAUAAGCACCGGCUAACUACGUG